rnacentral:rRNA from 1 species
ACGGGGCGCAGCAGGCGCGAAAACUUUACAAUGCUGGCAACAGCGAUAAGGGAACCUCGAGUGCCAGGUUACAAAUCUGGCUGUCGAGAUGCCUAAAAAGCAUUUCAUAGCAAGGGCCGGGCAAGACCGGUGCCAGCCGCCGCGGUAACACCGGCGGCUCGAGUGGUAACCGUUAUUAUUGGGUCUAAAGGGUCUGUAGCCGGCCGGAUAAGUCUCUUGAGAAAUCUGGCAGCUUAACUGUCAGGCUUUCAGGAGAUACUGUCUGGCUCGAGGCCGGGAGAGGUGAGAGGUACUUCAGGGGUAGGGGUGAAAUCUUGUAAUCCUUGAAGGACCACCAGUGGCGAAGGCGUCUCACCAGAACGGACCUGACGGCAAGGGACGAAAGCUAGGGGCACGAACCGGAUUAGAUACCCGGGUAGUCCUAGCCGUAAACGAUACUCGCUAGGUGUCGGCCACGGUGCGACCGUUGUCGGUGCCGUAGGGAAGCCGUGAAGCGAGCCACCUGGGAAGUACGGCCGCAAGGCUGAAACUUAAAGGAAUUGGCGGGGGAGCAC